GCAGGUAUGGUUUAAUGGUAGAACGCUUCCUUGCCAAGGAAGGGGUGGGGGUUCGAUUCCCCCUACCUGCUCCA
rnacentral:tRNA from 6 species